AAAAACGCGGACACAAUGUGACAAUGUUGACCAGCAGACUGGGUUAUCCAUGACGGAUUGGUAAAGAGCUGUUCAUUAAUCAAGGAAAACGGGACGUAGGAAUGGGGAAACCUCAGUCCAAACAUGCGGGCAAACGUAGAGAGAACCCCGAAGGAGACAGUUUUGUUGUGAACGCUUUCCUCCGAAGAGCGAUGGGGGAAUGUGAGAUGUACAGCUCCUCAGAUCACAAACUGAACAACAUGCAGGUAAGAAA